GACGAACCGUGCGAACGUUGUUCGGAAUCACUGGGCUUAAAGGGUGCGUAGGCGGGUUGUCCAUGCUGGGGUGAAAUCCCACGGCUCAACCGUGGAACUGCCUCCGAUACUGACGACCUCGAGGGAGGUAGGGGCGAGCGGAACUGUGGGUGGAGCGGUGAAAUGCGUUGAUAUCCACAGGAACUCCGGUGGCGAAGGCGGCUCGCUGGACCUCUUCUGACGCUGAAGCACGAAAGCUAGGGGAGCAAACGGG
rnacentral:rRNA from 1 species